rnacentral:rRNA from 1 species
AUUGAACGCUGGCGGCAGGCCUAACACAUGCAAGUCGAACGAGUGGCGGACGGGUGAGUUAUGUCUGGGAAACUGUCUGGUGGAGGGGGAUCACUUCUGGAAACGGUAGCUAAUACCGCAUAACAUCAGAUGUGCCCAGAUGGGAUUUGCUAGUUGGUGGGGGAACGGCGCACCAAGGCGACGAUCCCUAGCUGGUCUGAGAGGAUGACCAGCAAAACUGGAACUGAGACACGGUCCAGACUCCUACGGGAGGCAGCAGUGGGGAAGAUUGCACAAUGGGCGCAAGCCUGAUGCAGCCAUGCCGCGUGUAUGAAGAAGGCCUUCGGGUUGUAAAGUACUUUCAGCGGGGAGGCGUUACCCGCAGAAGAAGCACCGGCUAACUCCGUGCCAGCAGCCGCGGUAAUAC